GAUGAACGCUAGCGGCAGGCUUAAUACAUGCAAGUCGAGGGGCAGCGCGGUGUAGCAAUACACUGGCGGCGACCGGCAAACGGGUGCGGAACAUGUACACAACCUUCCUUCGAGCGGGGAAUAGCACAGAGAAAUUUGGAUUAAUACCCCAUAGUAAACUGACCCGGCAUCGGGAUGGUUUUAAAGAUUUAUCACUUGAAGAUGGGUGUGCGGCUGAUUAGGUAGUUGGCGGGGUAACGGCCCACCAAGCCGACGAUCAGUAACUGGUGUGAGAGCACGACCAGUCACACGGGCACUGAGACACGGGCCCGACUCCUACGGGAGGCAGCAGUAAGGAAUAUUGGUCAAUGGACGAAAGUCUGAACCAGCCAUGCCGCGUGGAGGAUGAAGGUCCUCUGGAUUGUAAACUUCUUUUAUAUGGGACGAAAAAAGGUUUUUCUAGACCGACUGACGGUACCAUAUGAAUAAGCACCGGCUAACUCCGUGCCAGCAGCCGCGGUAAAAC
rnacentral:rRNA from 1 species